GAUGAACGCUGGCGGCGUGCCUAAUACAUGCAAGUCGAGCGAACAGAUGAGGAGCUUGCUCCUCUGACGUUAGCGGCGGACGGGUGAGUAACACGUGGAUAACCUACCUAUAAGACUGGGAUAACUUCGGGAAACCGGAGCUAAUACCGGAUAAUAUAUUGAACAGCAUGGUUCAAUAGUGAAAGACGGUUUUGCUGUCACUUAUAGAUGGAUCCGCGCCGCAUUAGCUAGUUGGUAAGGUAACGGCUUACCAAGGCAACGAUGCGUAGCCGACCUGAGAGGGUGAUCGGCCACACUGGAACUGAGACACGGUCCAGACUCCUACGGGAGGCAGCAGUAGGGAAUCUUCCGCAAUGGGCGAAAGCCUGACGGAGCAACGCCGCGUGAGUGAUGAAGGUCUUCGGAUCGUAAAACUCUGUUAUUAGGGAAGAACAAAUGUGUAAGUAACUAUGCACGUCUUGACGGUACCUAAUCAGAAGGCCACGGCUAACUACGUG
rnacentral:rRNA from 1 species